GAUGACCUUUAGCUACAGGCUUAACACAUGCAAGUCGAGGGGCAGCAUGAACUUAGCUUGCUAAGUUUGAUGGCGACCGGCGCACGGGUGAGUAACACGUAUCCAACCUGCCGAUGACUCGGGGAUAGCCUUUCGAAAGAAAGAUUAAUACCCGAUGGCAUAGUUCUUCCGCAUGGUGGAACUAUUAAAGAAUUUCGGUCAUCGAUGGGGAUGCGUUCCAUUAGGUUGUUGGCGGGGUAACGGCCCACCAAGCCUUCGAUGGAUAGGGGUUCUGAGAGGAAGGUCCCCCACAUUGGAACUGAGACACGGUCCAAACUCCUACGGGAGGCAGCAGUGAGGAAUAUUGGUCAAUGGACGAGAGUCUGAACCAGCCAAGUAGCGUGAAGGAUGACUGCCCUAUGGGUUGCAAACUUCUUUUAUACGGGAAUAAAGUGAGGCACGUGUGCCUUUUUGUAUGUACCGUAUGAAUAAGGAUCGGCUAACUCCGUGCCAGCAGCCGCGGUAAUACGGAGGAUCCGAGCGUUAUCCGGAUUUAUUGGGUUUAAAGGGAGCGUAGGCGGACGCUUAAGUCAGUUGUGAAAGUUUGCGGCUCAACCGUAAAAUUGCAGUUGAUACUGGGUGUCUUGAGUACAGUAGAGGCAGGCGGAAUUCGUGGUGUAGCGGUGAAAUGCUUAGAUAUCACGAAGAACUCCGAUUGCGAAGGCAGCUUGCUGGACUGUAACUGACGCUGAUGCUCGAAAGUGUGGGUAUCAAACAGGAUUAGAUACCCUGGUAGUCCACACAGUAAACG
rnacentral:rRNA from 1 species